UACGGGGGGGGCAAGCGUUGUUCGGAAUUACUGGGCGUAAAGGGCUCGUAGGUGGCCAACUAAGUCAGACGUGAAAUCCCUCGGCUUAACCGGGGAACUGCGUCUGAUACUGGAUGGCUCGAGUUUGGGAGAGGGAUGCGGAAUUCCAGGUGUAGCGGUGAAAUGCGUAGAUAUCUGGAGGAACACCGGUGGCGAAGGCGGCAUCCUGGACCGGCAUUGACGCUGAGGCGCGAAAGCUAGGGGAGCAAACGGG
rnacentral:rRNA from 1 species